AAUGAGAUGCAAGAGGAAGGCUGCAGGGAAGCUUUUGGAGAGUUCUUGCUUUCUUUAUACAUAAGAAAGAAGUGGCUGCCUCAGCCCCGUCCCCUUUCUUUUGGCCUUGAACUUGCCUGUGAUAGUUGGAACUUCCACAGCCAUCUUGUAACCUUGAGGUGAUGUGCAUGGGGAUAAUAGGCCAAUAUGCAAAAUGGAGAGACAGAAAGAGUCUGGGUCUUUAAUGACAUUGAAAUGGUAUAAAGAUGACCCUAAAGUGCGAACACCUCAGCUCUAACAUGCUGAAAGAACUUAUUGGACUCCCCUUAUCUGACUGAAGUGAGAGCUUCACAGAGUCAGCUACCUGCCCUCCCCAGCAAGUCUCCCGUCAGGGAGGUGACCUAUCUCAGGCACUGGGACAUUCCAGAAGAAAAAAAAAGUCAUUUAAACAAGCCUCAUCAGAAUGUUCCAUCCUUGGAAGGCUUAAACCUCCCCUGUUCCCCCGCCCUUUAUUAAGCUGGUAUAUAAACAUUGACCUCUUGCUGUUUGGGGAGCUAGUCUCUCUGUAGAAGUACUCCUGCAGGCAUAAUAAACGAAAGUUUAUCCUGU